UACGAAGGGGGCUAGCGUUGUUCGGAUUUACUGGGCGUAAAGCGCGCGCAGGCGGUUCGAUAAGUCAGGGGUGAAAUCCCAGGGCUCAACCCUGGAACUGCCUUUGAUACUGUCGAUCUGGAGUAUGGAAGAGGUGAGUGGAAUUCCGAGUGUAGAGGUGAAAUUCGUAGAUAUUGGGAAGAACACCGGUGGCGAAGGCGGCUCACUGGCUCGUAACUGACGCUCAUGCACGACAGCGUGGGGAUCAAACAGG
rnacentral:rRNA from 1 species